rnacentral:rRNA from 1 species
CGAUAUCAAUAAGCGGAGGAAAAGAAAAUAACAAUGAUUCCCCUAGUAACUGCGAGUGAAGAGGGAUAAGCUCAAAUUUUAAAUCUGACGAGUCCUACUUUUCAGAGUUGUAAUUUGAAGAAGCGUUUUCUGCGUCUUGUUAACCUAAAUCUUUUGGAACAAGGUAUCAUGGAGGGUGACAGUCCCGUUCAUGGUUAACAUCAAGAUGCGUUACGAUACGUUUUCUAAGAGUCGAGUUGUUUGGGAUUGCAGCUCAAAAUGGGAGGUAAAUUUCUCCUAAGGCUAAAUAUUGGCGAGAGACCGAUAGCGAACAAGUACCGUGAGGGAAAGAUGAAAAGAACUUUGAAAAGAGAGUUAAACAGUACGUGAAAUUGUCGAAAGGGAAACGAUUGAAGUCAGUCGUACUAACGGGAAAUCAACCUAUUUGGGUUGUGAAUUUUGGAUUUUGAAGAGUGUAAACCUUUGGGGUUCAAACAUUUGUGCUCUUUAGGCGUAAUUUCUCGUUCGGUAGGUUAACAUCGAUUUUGAAGAUUAUAAAAUGACUGGAGGAAUGUAGCUUCGAUCUCGUAUUGAAGUGUUAUAGCCUUUGGUAGAUGUAAUGAUCAAGAUCGAGGAUUGCAACGAAUACCCUUUUGGGCUAUCCGUCUGAUCUCUGAUACGUUGCCUCGGUAACGAAAGCUUGCUUACGGUAUUGAGGUAUUACGGUCAAUAGGUUAGAACGUGAUUACAUUCGUUAAGGAUGUUGACGUA